rnacentral:lncRNA from 12 species
CCCCCCCCCCCCCCCCCCCCCCCCCCCCCCCCCCCCCCCAUAGAAAUUAAAGCAGGUUUUGGUAUAGGAUGGAUAGAAAUUACAGCAGGUUUUGGUAUAGAAGGAAUAGAAAUUAAAGCAGGUUUUGGUAUAGGAUGGAUAGAAAUUACAGCAGGUUUUGGUCCUGGUGCUUGGGAAUAGUGACAGGAAUGUGGCAAUGUGGCAGUGGUGGGCUGUGGGUAACAGCAAGAUGCUGAUUGGCUGUCCGGGUUUCAGAUGCUCUGCAGUUAAAAAUAAAUAACAAUGGGAACCAGAAGCAGCAGAAGUUUUCAGACCAGCCCCAGCCCGGGCUGGGCUGUGUCAGCCACGAGCCGUGAAUUGCUGCUGCAUUUCAAGGCAGCAGACAGGUAAAGAAAGGAAUCCUUGCCAGAUUUACAGACAGCACACAGCAUUUCAAAGUUCAUUUUCUCCUGCUGCAGCCCGGCCCUCUCCUCCCACGGAUUUUUGGGGACAGCAGCUCGUGGUGUCCAUCUGGAAAUCAAUUUGCGGCCGACGGAAUUAUUUAAUCAUUAAGCCCUUAUUUAAUUUAUUCCUCCGGCGCAGGGGCUGCAGGCAGCUGAGAGAGCUGGAGAGCAGCGAGGACAUUGUUGAGCCCUGCUGCUCUAAAAAGCCAAUUAUUGCCUUGAAAUUCAGGGGAAAAGGGGGAGCCUCUCAUCCUUUCAUCUGCUCCUUCGCGCACUGCUCGGGAUCCUUCAACAGCCCCGCCGGAGAAUUGAAAUCUGCGCCACCGACAGCUGAUGAAUUCUUUCUUUUAGGGAAAAAAAGCUGCUCGUCAACACAAUUAGAAAUGAAAUCUUCCAAGGGCUCUUGCAAGGAAAAACACAAUGGUUGCUGCUUUGCCUGCCUCUCUGAAAUUCCGCAUUACGGGGGAAUUUUCUUCCAGUUGCCAAAGAAAGUUCAAGAACUUGGAUUUUCAGUCACAGGAAUCAGGAAAUUGGGGGAGUCCCAUCAAUACCCAUCAAUACCCAUCAGUACCCAUCAAUACCCACCAAUACCCAUCAAUGUCCAUCAAUGUCCAUCAAUGUCCAUCAAUACCCCACCAAUACCCAUCAAUACCCACCAAUACCCAUCAAUGUCCAUCAAUGUCCAUCAAUGUCCAUCAAUACCCAUCAAUGCCCAUCAAUGUCCAUCAAUACCCGUCAAUGUCCAUCAAUACCCAUCAAUACACAUCAAUGUCCAUCAAUACCCGUCAAUGUCCAUCAAUACCCAUCAAUACACACCAAUACCCAUCAAUGUCCAUCAAUGUCCAUCAAUACCCGUCAAUACCCAUCAAUACCCAUCAAUACCCAUCAAUACCCAUCAAUACCCACCAAUACCCAUCAAUACCCAGAGUAAAAGAGAAAUCCACCUCAAACAAAAAGAGAACCAAGAGGAAAGAUUUUUACAGGCAAACCAAGAUUUCCUGAAAAAGAAAAACCUUUCUAUUGGAGGGAUUAGGAGGGUUUAGCUGCAAAUCCAGCUCAGCACUUCAAACUCCUAAUUUCCCCAGAUCUGCCCGGACUUCAUCCCACAUCUCAUCCCCGGCUGCGUCGUUUGGGAUUGCAUUUCUUUGUCUUUAGGGGCUGAGGAGUGGAAUCCUAAUUUAAUCCCAGGGGGAGCUCUCUGUGGGAAUUCUGGGAAUUCUGGGUCAGUGGGGGACAGGGGGCGACUUUUGGGGCUGGGAAAGGAAAGGAAAGGAAAGGAAAGGAAAGGAAAGGAAAGGAAAGGAAAGGAAAGGAAAGGAAAGGAAAGGAAAGGAAAGGAAAGGAAAGGAAAGGAAAGGAAAGGAAAGGAAAGGAAAGGAAAGGAAAGGAAAGGAAAGGAAAGGAAAGGAAAGGAAAGGAAAGGAAAGGAAAGGAAAGGAAAGGAAAGGAAAGGAAAGGAAAGGAAAGGAAAGGAAAGGAAAGGAAAGGAAAAAGGAUCACUCCUAUUUCCUUGAGGGGAUACAAGUGGAAAAAACAGGUGCUUUAAAACUUUCCAAGCUGGAAGGAAACGACAAAAGGCAGGAGCAUUUCACUGUUGGAGUUUGGAAUAAAAGACAGAUAAUUAGGAAAUUGGGAGCCUAUUAAUUUCCCAAAUUUACUCAGGCACGAAGCACUGAGCUCUGGUGAUAUUUGCUUAGCUCGUCGUUAUGCAAAAAUAUAUUAGCUAAUUAUUUUGACUAAUGCAAUUAAGAUAUGCAUAUUUAGCACAAACUGCACAAUAGAAACGUUCCAGUCAGCAGUUGCUGCCUGGCACUGGUGGGCAGCCAGAGGGAAAGGGAAACAGGGAUGGGAUACUGGGAUGGGAUGGGAUCAUGGGGUGAGGGGUAAUGGGGUAAUGGGAUAAUGGGGUAAUGGGAUGGGAUACAGGGAUGGGAUACAGGGAUGGGAUACAGGGAUGGGAUACAGGGAUGGGAUACAGGGAUGGGAUACAGGGAUGGGAUACAGGGAUGGGAUACAGGGAUGGGAUACAGGGAUGGGAUACAGGGAUGGGAUACAGGGAUGGGAUACAGGGAUGGGAUA